CAUUUUAGAGAAGUAAAGUCGUAACAAGGUUUCCGUAGGUGACCUGCGGAAGGAUCAUUA
rnacentral:rRNA from 1 species